UGGUCUCGAACUCCUGACCUCAGGUGACCCGCCCACCUCAGCCUCCCAAAGUGCUGGGAUUACAGGUGUGAACCAUCGUGCCCGGCUGGCCUGAAUGACUUUGACAGUGGUAACUUUUUGAAACUCUGAAGUAGCUUGAAAAACCUGCCAUUCUAACUCGUGGAAAGUAAUGGAAUUAAAUUUGGCAUUAACAUGCUAUGAAUUUGACAAUUAAAACACAAGCUUCCAGCUCCUCAUCACCCAUCCCUCAGGCCCUUCUCUUUUAUUUUCAGGCCCCAAUGUGAGGCCAAAGGAGCUCAGUCUGAGAUUUAUUAUGUGUCCCAGCUGUUUGCUUCCGAGAUCCAUUCCUGCAGCUGUUCAAAUGGCGCUGUUGUUCUUUUCUUAAAACUCAGUUUCUCAUCCCAUUCGCCAGCUGAGCUCAAACAAAGAGCAACAGAUGACAUAUUUCUACAAACAAAAUAUGUUUGUUUUGUUGUAAAUGCAUGAAGAGAUCAAUAAACUUAAGCCAAACUUUGCAAGGCCAGAGGUGUUACCAAGAAAACGACAUUAUAGUCACUUGACAGAAAAAGAAAAUGUUUGCCAAAGAUAAUAGAGAGAGAGCUCACAUUUCCCCAGUCAACCUUCUGUAACCAAAGAGGAAAAUGCAGCGCUGUGUAGAAGGAACACACUUCUUUGUGCCUUUGAAGCCAGUGGAUUUCAGUUAAAUGCCUAUUAUAACAAUUAGGAUUGCUUAAUGUUUAAUUAUACAUCAACAGAAACAACCAUUAUAUUCAUUAUUUACUGAGGCUACUCUGCUAUUUGUGAAAUCAUCCUCAAAUACCAUUUGGUUUACACUUCUCACUGUCUUUGAACAGUUAGUUUUACAAACAGAUAUAUAUAUACUGGGCUUAAAAGAUUAAAUAUCUCCAUCUUUCCUGUUUACUAAUACAAUAUUUAUAUAGUAGAAGCUUUCCUCCAAUUAAUCAUACUAUGUGAGUGUUUGAUCUGGAAAUCCCCUUUGAGCAAUGGAGAAAAAUAUAUGAGUGAGGUCAAUGGAUGUGUGCGGCAGAUAGUAAGUAUGCAUUUGGAAGAAGAGCUCAAGAACCUACAUUCAGGCAUAACUAGAAUGUGAGGAAAGGAAAAUAAAUGUUGCCUAGUGGAGGAGAAAUAGGUUGGAAAGAGAAGUUUUUUUGUUUUGUUUUGAGACAGAGUCUCACUCUGUUGCCCAGGCUGCAGUCCAGUGAUGCAAUCUCGGCCCACUGCAAAUUCCCCCUUUUUGAGUUAUUCUCCUGCCUCAGCCUCCCAAGUAGCUGGGAUUACAGGUGCCCACCACCACGCCUGGCUAAUUUUUGUAUGAGAAGUAAUAUAUUCUUUCUAUCAAGAAAAAGCCUCUUCCCAUUGUCCUAAGUGAACUAACACAGAAACAGAAAACCAAAUACCACAGGUUCUCACUGUAAGUGGGAGCUAAACAUUGGGUUACAUGGACACAAAGAUGGAACCGAUAGACAAUGGAGGCCACUAGAAGUGGGAGAGACAGAGGGGGCAAGGGCUGAAAACUACCUAUUGGAUACUGUGUUUGCUACCUAGGCGACAGGUUCAAUCAUGCUCCAUACCUCAGCAUCCUGCAAUAUGCCCAGGUAACAAACCUGCCCAUUGAUUCUAAAGUAAAAAUGGGGCCGGGCGCGGUGGCUCAAGCCUGUAAUCCCAGCACUUUGGGAGGCCGAGACGGGUGGAUCACGAGGUCAAGAGAUCGAGACCAUCCUGGUCAACAUGGUGAAACCCCGUCUCUACUAAAUAUACAAAAAAUUAGCUGGGCAUGGUGGCGCGUGCCUGUAAUCCCAGCUACUCGGGAGGCUGAGUCAGGAGAAUUGCCUGAACCCAGGAGGCGGAGGUUGCGGUGAGCUGAGAUCGCGCCAUUGCACUCCAGCCUGGGUAACGAGAUCGAAACUCCGUCUCAAAAAAAAAAAAAAGGAAAAAGAAAAAAGCCUCAAAAAAUAAAAUAUAUUUCCUGCCCUCUUGGAGUGUACUUUCAGGUUAGAAAUAAUCAACACACAUGCAGAAGGAAAAUCACAAGUGGCAUAUGAAAUAGAUAGUAAUAUCUGUGGAGAAAAAUUUUAAAAACUUGAAUAUAGAGUAGAGGAAGAAAUAACUAUAAUAUUAAAUAGGGAGUUAGGGAAGACCUCAUAUCAACCGUGAUAUUCAAAGAACUGAAGGAGUAAACCUUGAGGAUAAUACCUGGAGAAAGAAAUUUGAGUUUAGGAAACAGCUCUUGAGGUGAAAGAAUGCCUGUCAUGUCCAAGGAGUAGCAACGAGGCCAGUGUGAUUGGUCAGAGUGAGUGCAGUGAAAAGUGGUGAAGAACAAAUGCAGAGAAGUAAUUGGAAGGGGUCAGGCUGCUGAAUAGAGCUAAGCCAGCUGUGCAGUGUGUACACUGCACAAAAUGCCUAUUGAUGGAGCCACCUCUCUACUUGCCAACGUGUGACCUCUGAUACAAGGUUGUAUCUGUCAGUGUGGGUCAGAGCAAUUUCGUUCUUACAAAGGCACUAGCCACAUUAUCAAGGUUUAGUCAUACAAAGCUGAGAAGGCACAGAGGGGAGCCACUUUAAAAAAAUUGACAAAAGUUACUUAUAAGCUUCUAAGCCAUGGUGAUGACCUUGAUUUUUUUUUUUUUUAAUUUUUUAUUGGAUUUUAGGUUUUGGGGUACAUGAGCAGAGCAUGCAAGACAGUUGCGUAGGAACACACAUGGCAGUGUGCUUUUCUUUCCUUCUCCCCUUCACCCACAUUUGGCAUUUCUCCCCAGGCUAUCCCUCCCCAACUCCCCCUCCCACUGGCCCUAUUUUAACUCAAGGGAGAUGGGGGCCCACUAGGCAGUUUUGAGCCGAGGAGACAUGACCUGUCUUGUUUAGCAGGAGCACACUCCCAGCUCUGCUGUGGAUAAACUGAAGAGGGCGUGAUGAGAUGCUUGGAAACUCGCUAGCAAGUCAUGAAACUUAUCCAGCUUAAAGUUAAUGAUGACAUAAGUCAGCGUGGUUGUAGCAGAUACAGUAAACGUGGGAGUAGUGGAUUCGAGGUGUGUUUUGAAAGUACAGCCAACAGAAUUUCUGAAUGGCAUAGACUUGAGGUGUGAGUAAAACAAAAUGAUCAAGGAUGAUACCACGUAUUUGUACUGAUCAAGUGGAAGGAUAGGGUUCUAUUACUGAGAUGGAAAGUCUCCAGAAAAUCAGGAUGAGGAAGGGAGGUGAACAUAAGGAGGUCAGUUCUUGACAUACAAGGUAUGAGAUGCUUCUUAGCCAUCCAGAUGGAGAGUUAAGUAAGCAUUUGUAUAUAUGAGUCUGAAGGUCAGGGUAGAAGUACAGAGGCAGAUAUAAAUUUGAGAAUCACUAGUGUGCAGAUAUCUUUAAAACUAAGGCUGAAGGAGGACCAGAGAGUAAGUGCAGAUGGAUAGAGAGAAGGUAUUCAUCAUGAGCCUUGGGACUUUCCACAAUUAAGAGAUUAAAGAGAUACAAGGUCUAGCACAAGGGGCUGAGAAGAAGCCAAUAAGACAGAAAGAAAACCUGAAAGGCGUGAAUUCCUGGAAGCCAAAGAAAAGUUUUCAAAGAGGACUGAGCUGGCUGUGAAAAACGUCAAUUAAUAUUUACCAGGCAUCUACCAUAGGGCUUGGCAAUAUGAAGGGAAAGUUUGAUCUUGCUGCAGCAGUAGAGAAAAAGCCUCAUUAGAGUGAAUUUAAAAGAGAACGAGAAGUGAGUAGUGGUGGAGCUAGAAGACUACUGGCUACUUUUGAAAGCAGUUUGGCUAGAAAGGAGAGGAAACAAAUAGCACUGUAGCUGGGAUUGAAAUAUAUAUUUUUUCAGAUGGAGAAACAAAACAACUUCCUGCUUCACUGACAAAAUCCAGUAGAGAGGAAAAUUUUGACGAAGCAGAAGAAAGAAGAAAAACUGUUGCAAUAAUGUUUUUGGAAAAGCAUGAAACAUGGAAUAUAUAGCACCUAAGCUAAGUUUAGCCUUAGCUGAUAAUCCGGUUGUGUAUUCCACAGUAACAGGGGAAGACAGGCCAAUGAACACAGAUGCAGAGACAGGGUUCCUGUUGGCAAGACUGGUCUCGGACCUCCUGACCUCGUGAUCCACCCGCCUCAGCCUCCCAAACUGCUGGUAUUACAGUGAGAAAAGAAGUCAGGAGCUGUUGUAGUUAUCCAGAACGUUAUCCUGUGAAGAGAUGAACCCUCUACACUUCUAGCCUGUUUCUCCUGUGGGUUCAGAGAAGGUCCUGAGAUAAAGAACAAAGAGAUGCUCACAUUCCUUGCUGGCGAUUGGAUGUUGCCCAUAGAGAUGACUCUGACCCCACAUGAAAAUGUCCACUACAGCCGCACCUGCAAUGAGAGGUAAAACGAGCGAUGGAUGUAAGGUACCAAAGGCACGGUCCACAAGGGGCUAACACGGUGCAUCUGCAGACGCUUUUUGAGAAAAUACACUUUUCAGUUUCUGAGUCCAGAGUGCUAAUAAAAAAUAAUUGUUAAAUUGGGUUGCCUGGUAAGAGCUGAACAGUCUGGAAGCUACAAACAGCCUGUAUCUCCGUGCAAAUAGAUGUUCUGUAAAUACUUCCCUGGCAAUUCUAUUCUCCCUAAUUAAUUGGCCAAGCUAAGCCUUUGUAAGCAGCAGUAUAAGAGGUAAAACUUCAGCAUGGUCCCUGCCAAAAUCAUCACAAAUCCUGAAUUAGUCGGAUGUGAAUUAAUGAGCUUUUAGCAAAGCAUGGUUUUUGUCAGACAUAUUGAUCCUGGAGUGAAACAGCCCAUUAAAGCCUAUAAUUAAGAUGCAGUUUCUGUUUGAAGAUGAAGUGCCCGGGCAGGGACAAAUUAUGAGAUGCUUGUUCCUGUGAGGCUGACAGGUGAUCAGGGGAUGAACAUGUAUUAGGAGUUUCUCUUGUUCCCUCCUGACAGGAAAUGACAGCCACAUUUCAAAUGAAACAAAUGGAGUUUACGCAAUUAUUUAGACCUGGAAGCAAGAAGAUCUCCAGAUCACAAAUUACCCAGUAGAAAUACUUUUCCUACCAAGUAAAAGGAAGUUGUUUUGUUUUAGCUCACUCAAGCCUCCCCUUGCCUGCUUUCUUACUAUAAUGGGUGGGUGGGUAAUCGGACCUCCUUUACCGGGAAAUUUCCUUUAAUAAGUGCUUGGAGUGUUAGCAUAAUAGAGACCAAAGGGAGAGUGGGGAAUGUGGGAAGGGGAGUUUAGGCUCUGGCUAGGAGGUGACCUUAGGACCUGCAGUGUGGGGGGGGGGUCUGGAGCAAAUUGCUGAUGAGGGAUAGGAAGAAAAUGCAGUCACUGCUGUAUUUUCAUUUUGAAAGAGUCAGGAAAUGUUCUAUUUUUCUCUACCAUGUUUGGCACAGGUAAAUUUUUCUUUAUUCUUUUUUUUUUUCCUGAGGAAAUGAAGGAGUGCUGAGGUCCAGGUGAAUUGGGCCUGAGGUGAAGACAGACUGCAAACAGAGAUUACAGUAAUUCAUACUACAACACCCGAAGCCAGGACACCGUGUAAAUGAGUUUCUUUGAAGGACAGGUUUGAAAAAAGAAAACACAUAAACUCUACCUCUGCAGAGGAGAAAAGGGAGGAAGAAGAAAGAGCAAGGAUUUAAGGAGACAGGCAUUACACAAGUUUCCUUUCCUUUUUUUUUUUUUUUUUUUGCACUAUUUGUUUUAUUUUAUUUUAUCUUAUUUUAAACUCAUAGGAUACAUGUGCAUGUUUGUUACAUGGGUACAUUGCAUACUGGUGGGAAUUGAGCUUCUAGGGUAGCCAUUACCCACAUAGUGGACAUCGUACCCAAUAGAUACAUUUUCAGCCCUCACCACCCUCCCUCCCACACCCUCUGGAGUCCCCAGUGUCUGUUGUUCCCAUCUUUAUGAACAUGUAUCCUCAUUGUUUAGCUCCCACUUACAAGUGAGGAGACGAAGUGUUUGGUUUUCUGUUUCUGAGUUAGUUCACUUAGGAUAUUGGCCUCCAGCUCCAUCCAUGUUGCUUUCAAGAAUAUGUUUUUUAUUAUUUUUAUGGUUGCAAAGUAUUUCAUGGUGUAUAUAUAUAUCACAUUUUUAAAUCCAGCCAACCACUGAUGGACACUUGUUAGUUUUAAGACUUUGCUAUUGUGGACAGCACUGUAAUGAACAUACAAGUGCAAGUAUCUUUUUAAAAUAAUGAUUUCUUUUUUCCCUUUGGUAGAUACCCAGUAGAGGUAUUGCUGGACCUAAUAGUAGUUCUAUUUUUAGUUCUUUGAAAAAAUUUCAUACUGUUUUACGUAGAGGUUGAAGUAAUUUACAUUCCCGCUAUAGUGUGUAAGUGUCCCCUUUUCUCCACAUCCACACCAACAUUUGUUGUUUUUGACUUUCUAAUAAUAGCCAUUCUGUGUGAACCAUUGCAGAUGAUACCUGACUAAUAGCAGCUGUUUCUUCUCCCCCUACCUGCCACCGUACAGCUGUAGAUGUUAAUAUCCAAAUUUCUACUUACCACUUCCCCUUGAAUGUCUAGUAGGCAUUACAAACUUAGCAUGCUUAAAUAAGGGUUCCUGUAAUUCCCCAUUCCAAGCUCUACUUGCAAAUGUUCCUGUCCUCAAUUAAUGACAACACUAGCCUUACCAUUAUUCAGGUGAAAAUCUUUUGUGUCAACCUGAUUCAUCUCUUUACCUGACAGUUCACAUCAAAUCCAUCACCAAAUCCUGAAGAAUUUAGCAUUAAAAUAGAUGAUAUCCAGACUUUAACCACUUUUUAUUAUCUUUACUGCUAUUACCUGUUCAGAUGAUUAUUAUUUCUUACUUGGAUUAGCUGGGAAUUGGUCUCCCUGAUCAUGCAAGUCACGGUGACAUGGUUAAAAACUAAUUCAGGUCAUUUAGAAUCAAAGCAAAAGUUCUUAAACCCCUACAACCCUGUAUAAACUGCCUCAACCCUUUACUUGCUGAUCUCACUCUGUCUCUUUUACACUCAGGCCAUACUGAGCUUCUCACUGUUCUUUGAACACAUCACACAUGCUCCCACCUCAGUGCCUUUGCACCUGCUCUUCCCUCUGCGUAAUAUACCAUUUCCAUAGAUACAGCUGUGGCUUGCUGACUUUAUCCUUUACAUUUUCUUAAAAAGUCACCUUCUUGGUAAGGGCUUUUGUGGGUACCGCUGACACUUCAUAUCCCCUCUCCUGCUUUAUUAACUACUCACAAUAUAUUUGAUACAAUUGAACAUAAUAACCAUAACGCUAUACUUUUACUUAUUUAGUUUUCUUAUUUUCUACUUCCCUUCAUUAGAAUGUAAGUUCCAUGAAGGUAGAAACAUUUAUCUAUUAUGUUCAAUGUGUAUGCUGGUACCUGACACAUAGUAAGUGCUCAGUAAAUGCUGUUCACAGUUUUACCGAGGUAUGAUUGAUACACAAAAUGCACAUGUUUUAUGCAUGCAAUUUGAUGCCUUGGAACAUAUAUACACCUGUGAUACCAUCAUCACAGCUGAAGUAUUAAACAUAUCCAACACCUCCAAAAGCUUACUGGUAGUCUUUUUAUCCCCUUUGCUUGUUUUUAUAUGUGUGAUAAGAAAACAUAAGAUCUACUAUUGUAACAGAGUUUAAAUGCAUAUUAACAUAUUGCUGACUAUAGGCACUAUGUUGUACACCAGGUCUCUAGAACUUACAUAUCUUGCGUAAAUGAACCCUCAUACCCAUAUAGCAACAACUUCCCAUCUCCCCCUGUCUCCUGACCCUGGAAAUCAUCAUUCUAUUCUAUGCUUCUAUGAGUGUAACUAUUUUAGAUCCAUCAUAUUUGUGGAAUCAUGCAGUAUUUGUCCUUCUGUGAAUGGCUUAGCAUAACGUACUCUAAGUUCAUCACCAAAUCCUGAAGAGUCUAUGUUGUUCCAUGUUAUGGGAGUUCUGUCUUUUUUAAAACUGAACAAUGUUUCAUUCUAUGUACAUACUACAAUUUUUUAAAUCCACUACUCUGUCAAUGGACAUUUGAGUUUUUCCCACAUCUUGGCUCUUGUGAAUAAUGUUGUAAUGAACAUGGGAGUGCAGGUAUCUCCUUGAGAUUUUGAUUUCAAUUAUUUAUAUUAUAUACCCAGAAGGAGGAUUGCUGGAUCAUAUGAUACUUCCAUUUUUAAUUUUUGGAGGAAACUCCAAACUAUUUUCCGUAGUGGCUGCACCAUUUUACGCUCUCACCAACAGUAUGAAAGGGUUUCAAUUUCUUGAGAUCUUCACAAACACUUGUUAUAUUUUGAUAGUAGCCAUUCAUAUAUGGUCAAUUUAUCUUUGACAGUGGGGAAAUGAUAGUGUCUUCCACAAAUGAUGCUGGGAAAACUUGAUAUCACAUGCAAAGAAUCAAAUUAUCACACUAUGCACAAAAAUCAACUCAAAAUAGAUAAAUGACUUAAAUAUUAAGACCUAAAACUAUGAAACCCGCUCAAGGAGAAGAACUUCUUGACUUUUGCAUAGACGGUGACGGCUUGAGUAUGACACCAAAAGCGCAGACAGCAAAAGCAGAAGCAGAUGAAUGGAACUACAUCAAAUGGAAAACAGCUUCUAUGUAGCAAAGAAAGCCAUCGACAGAGUGAAAAGGUAACCUGGGCAGAAAAUAUUUGAAAACCAUUUAUGUAAUAAGAGAUUAAGAUCUAAUUGCUUGAGCCCAGGAGGUGGAGGUUGCGGUGAGCCGAGACUGCGCCUUUGCACUCCAGCCUGGGUAAGAUGAGUGAAACUCCAUCAAAAAAAAAAAAAAAAAAAAAAAAGAGAUUAAUAUCUAAAAUAUGUUUUUAAAACAAGGACUUGAAUAUUAUAUGUGUCCAAAGAAGAUGGAAAUACACACCAGGUAUGUGAAAAUGUGCCCAGCAUCACUAAGCAUCAGAGAAAUGCAAAUCAAAACCACAAUGAGUCAUAAUCUCUGUUGGAAUGGCUACUAUUGAUAAAUGUUUUAUUUAUGUACAAAAAAGUGAAUGAAUGAAUGUGGUUGAAAUGGUUGAAUGUCAAGUCAGGGUGAAGAAUGGGUUAUUUGGGCAGUAGCUGGAAUACAGAAGGUGGGGGUCAAGUGUUCACUAUACUAACAUAUCUCAGUAAGAGUCAGUAUUCAUUUUAAAUACAGCAUCUGAUUUACCAAAAAUUUGCUGGUACCUGAAAGAGUCUACAGUUCUAAUUCUCUGAUGUUUUUUCUUAAUUCAUAAAGAUUACACUACUUUGAUUAAUAAAUUUGGAUAGCUAAAAUAAGAUAUAUUUGACUUUACAUAUUUAAAUAGUGGCAGCACAAUUAGUAAGUCUGAUGAUUAUUAAUUUUUUUGACUGUGCUUAUCUUAAGUGAUUGAAUAUUUGGAAGAAUGAUAUUGUCUUUU